rnacentral:rRNA from 1 species
AGUACGGCGAGUGAAGCGGCAAAAGCUCAAAUUUGAAAUCUGGUACCUUCGGUGCCCGAGUUGUAAUUUGGAGAGGGCAACUUUGGGGCCGUUCCUUGUCUAUGUUCCUUGGAACAGGACGUCAUAGAGGGUGAGAAUCCCGUGUGGCGAGGAGUGCGGUUCUUUGUAAAGUGCCUUCGAAGAGUCGAGUUGUUUGGGAAUGCAGCUCUAAGUGGGUGGUAAAUUCCAUCUAAAGCUAAAUAUUGGCGAGAGACCGAUAGCGAACAAGUACAGUGAUGGAAAGAUGAAAAGAACUUUGAAAAGAGAGUGAAAAAGUACGUGAAAUUGUUGAAAGGGAAGGGCAUUUGAUCAGACAUGGUGUUUUGUGCCCUCUGCUCCUUGUGGGUAGGGGAAUCUCGCAUUUCACUGGGCCAGCAUCAGUUUUGGUGGCAGGAUAAAUCCAUAGGAAUGUAGCUUGCCUCGGUAAGUAUUAUAGCCUGUGGGAAUACUGCCAGCUGGGACUGAGGACUGCGAGUAAGUCAAGGAUGCUGGCAUAAUGGUUAUAUGCCGCCCGUCUUGAAC